rnacentral:rRNA from 1 species
UACGUAGGUGGCAAGCGUUGUCCGGAAUUAUUGGGCGUAAAGCGCGCGCAGGCGGUCCUUUAAGUCUGAUGUGAAAGCCCACGGCUCGACCGUGGAGGGUCAUUGGAAACUGGGGGACUUGAGUACAGAAGAGAAGAGUGGAAUUCCACGUGUAGCGGUGAAAUGCGUAGAGAUGUGGAGGAACACCAGUGGCGAAGGCGACUCUUUGGUCUGUAACUGACGCUGAGGCGCGAAAGCGUGGGGAGCAAACAGG